rnacentral:lncRNA from 1 species
AUUACUAUGUUGUGCAUCUGUAACAAUAUUGCUAUCUUUCCUUUGGUUUCUUUUUCCCCUUUUUACAAGGUAAAAGUUAUGCAGUAGUAUUAAUGUGGCAUCUAAGAUGUACAAUGUGGUUUUUUGGUGAAAUAAAUUUGUUGAGAAGCACCGGAAGGGUGUGGCUUAGUGGUCAAUGAAGUGAGUUGCGAACUAUGAGGUCUUAGGUUCAAAUCUCGCAAAGAUAAAAAAUACCAGGUUAGGUGAUUUCUUCCCAUUUGUCCUAGCAUUGGUUGACAAAGAUACCUUGGUAUUUGUUGCUGAGGGGAGGUGUGUGUGACAACUGACAGGUAUCCCGUGAAAUUUGUCGAGAUGCACGCAAGCUAGCCCGGUCAGAAUGCUAGAUAAUACAAGUUCAUCUUGAUUAAAAGAGAAACUGAUGUAUUCAUCAUAUCAAUUCACUUAUUCAGUCCAUGGAUUGCCUUCAGCUGAAGUAAAACUUACAAAAUCACUGAUUUUAGUUUGGUUCCUCUUAUAGGAUAAAUCUAAUUCCUGCCUUUUGCAAUUCUUAAGUGAUCCACAUAUAGCAAUCAAGAAUAGCCAUAUAGAUAAUGGAGUUUUUUUAAUAGGUCCUCGAAAAGUAGCAGAGUUUGAUGGAUCGCACCGAAGGACACCUAGGGCUAGUAGUCAAUGAAGUAGGUUGAGGAUUAAGAAGUCUCGGAUUGAAAUCCAACAGAGGCAUAUUUACUAGGUGAUUUCUUCUCGUUGUCCAAGUUUUGGUGGAUAGAGAUACCUAAUACUCAUGUUGGUGGGAGAUAGCAGAUACCUUGUAUUAUUAGUCGAGAUGUGCCCAAAAUAGCGAGGAUACGACUUCUAUUCGAAAAGAGAAUAGGACAUGAAAAACUCAGUGAUCAUAGAAGACUUUUAGGGGUGUAUGAGUUGUCUUCCAAUGUCCAUACAAUUGAGAGUGACAAGUAGUAUUAGAGCUUGGUAAUUAUAAGCAUUGAGAGCUUGGGUAAAAAGGUUGUCAAAGUGGGGAAAUGACUAGGUCUUAAAAUAAGUAGUAUUCAUAAUGAAAGCGGGGGAAAGGUAGACAAAGUUCAAACAUUCUUAUGCAUCAUGAUUAUCUUUUUUGAUUUUUGCUUGAAAGGUUUGACUCCUUAAUGGAAUUAGUACCUUUCUCCUUUGCUUUAAAUUGCAGAAAUUAGAUUGACAUCUAGGGUAUAAUUGUGUCUUACGAUUUCUAAGUCAAUAUUUGGAGAAGAUAAUCCUUGUAAAUUUGAAUAGAGAAAUGGCUACAAAUGACUUUUUUUAACCACAUAACCUUGUUAUUAAUAUGGCCUCUCUUCUUUAGAUUCCUUGUUUCAUUUCGAAAGUGGUAUUGAUGGUGUCAAUGUAGAGAAACUGAAUACAUUUGCAUACUAUUUUGGUUAGGUGUUUACCCUCUUUUUGGUCCUCACCAAUAAGGUUGAGAUGUAAUCUAUUCUUUCACCUAUUUUCACCCAGGUUAAAGUAAGUUUCUGUAAUUGUCCAUUUUCACCAUUUAUCUUCAUUUCUUGUAAGUAGAGGUAAAAGAAAUAAAGAAUACUUGUUACAAAUAGUAGUAAGACAAAGGACCACUUAAAUCUCAUGGAUCCUAUUGUAUAUUUUGGAGGAAAUGAUUUUAAAGUGGAAAAUAAAAGCAUUGUGAUACUUUUCCUGCAACGUAAAACACUUAGUUUUAGAAAUUCCUCACAACAUUCUCAAUAUAGUUCCUAUUCCUUUUUAACUAAUUAUACACGAAUGGUGAUAAAGGGCAGCAAAAUUAGUCCAUGAAAUAUGACCCGUCUAAUUUGCUUAAGUUGGGUGGGUUAAUGUCCCAUGUGUUUGUUAGUUCAAUUCAUUUUGGUUCCCUCAAUUUAGCUUAUCUAAAAGAUUAUCCUGUUCAAUUACUAACUCAAUUCAUUUUGAACCCUUCCCCUACCCCCACCCCACAAUACCAAAAUAUAGUAUAUUUAAAAGUCAGAUUGAUAUGUGUCUGUUAUGUUAUAUUUAGUCACGAUAAAGAAAAAACGUUUAUAAGGUACUUAAAUAAUUUUGAUAAACAAUCAACAUAAUUAAAACUUAGCAAGCGUUGGCAGAUUGGGUUAUAGUCCCUUAUUUAGCCUAUUUCGACCUUUUAACUUAGUUUAGCCCAAGUGACCUUUGGAUGAGUUUAUGACCGAGUCAUUUAUAAACUCAGUCUAUUUUGACUCGUUCAAAUUUCAAUCCAAUUUUUUCAUUUGACAUUCGUAUGUACAUACUUUAAAUGGCAUUAAAGAUCACGUUGUUGUUUAUUUAUUCUUUGAAAUGAUUGAGGCAGGACAUAAUACUCGUAUAUCUUUACUUUAAAGCGAC